CUGUAAGUACUCCUCACCUCAGAUGUCUAAUCUACGAGGAGUGUAGAACCCCAGAUGGUGAACUCAGUUGAAUUCCAUGCUUCUGCUUGCACAAAAUUCAGCUCACUGAUGAUUGUGCAUUUUUGAGAUAAUUGAAGUUACGUAUGCGUCUCUACAGAGAGAAAACGGGCGUACUGCUCAAUGCUCUGCCCAUCUUGUGCAGGUUCUUAUUGUAUUCAUCUACGCGGGACUUCUAUAUAUUAUAAUGGCACAUAUUGCACAAAAUCUGUCGCUUUUGAGAGAGCAGCUGCAGCAAAUACAGGCUGAGGGCGUCCACAUGAUGCACAAUGCUGUUCAUACGAAGUAUAUCAUGUUCAGGUUAGGGCCCAGAUACUCUGAAAAAUUUAGCCUGAACAUUGAACUCCGAUGGUCAUACUUCACAAGGCAAAAGACUCGCAUGCAAAAAAACAUUUCUUUCUAAAGUUCGGUGUUCUCCUCCGGUGCGAUAUAAAGCUGACUUGGCUGGAAUAUCAUCAAUUAUUGGUCUUCGCAGAAAGUUUCAAGGAGCUAUGCUGGCAAUGGUCGUUGCUGAAAUUCUUGUACGUGGAAAUUUCAAAAUGUGUUCCAAGGUUAAAAUAUUCUGAGUUUGCAUGUAUACAUUAAAUAAAGUAAAUAAAAAUAAAAUAAAAUACAGUAAAAAGGGGAGGGGAUGCAUUGCAUACGCACAACCUAUUUACCUGGCAUUAUCUAGACAUGGAGCAGGGUAGCCUUAUCGUUUUUGGCAGGAUACUAAGUGUGCUAUAAUUUCAAGCACUUCUCUCCCAUUCCGAUAGGUUAGCUGAAUUGUUCACUUCCUAUUCCACAGCUUCUAUUAUUCUCUUGUCAGGUGAUGAUCGUUAUAUAAGUGGUGAUAUUCCCCUUGUGACAG
rnacentral:lncRNA from 1 species